UUGAGCGGAGAUAUAUGGAGCUUGCUUUAUAUAACUUAGCAGCGAACGGGUGAGUAACACGUAGAUAAUCUAUCCUAUACUGGGGGAUAGCCCGAUGAAAGUUGGAUUAAUACCGCAUAUAGCUAUAUAGUUGCAUGAUUAUGUAGUGAAAGAUUUAUUGGUAUAGGAGGAGUCUGCGGCACAUUAGCUAGUAGGUGAGGUAAAGGCUUACCUAGGCGACGAUGUGUAGCCGGUCUGAGAGGAUGAACGGCCACAAUGGAACUGAGACACGGUCCAUACUCCUACGGGAGGCAGCAGUGGGGAAUAUUGCACAAUGGGGGAAACCCUGAUGCAGCAACGCCGCGUGAGUGAAGAAGGUUUUCGGAUUGUAAAGCUCUGUUAGCAGGGAAGAGGAAGGACGGUACCUGCAGAGGAAGCCACGGCUAACUACGUGCCAGCAGCCGCGGUAAUACGUAGGUGGCAAGCGUUGUUCGGAAUAACUGGGCGUAAAGGAUGCGUAGGCGGUUAAACAAGUUAUAUGUUAAAUAUAUAGGCUUAACCUGUAGAAAGCAUAUAAAACUGUUUAACUAGAGUGCAGGAGAGGUAAGUGGAAUUCCUAGUGUAGCGGUGAAAUGCGUAGAGAUUAGGAAGAACACCAGUGGCGAAGGCGACUUACUGGACUGUAACUGACGCUGAGGCAUGAGAGCAUGGGGAGCAAACAGGAUUAGAUACCCUGGUAGUCCAUGCUGUAAACGAUGGGUACUANGUGUGGGUUGUGAAUANCAAUUCGUGCCGUCGCAAACGCAAUAAG
rnacentral:rRNA from 1 species